rnacentral:lncRNA from 1 species
UGAGCGAUCUCCUUGCCGCAACUUUUGGAAUCUUUCCUUGAGCUUUCGCUUUUCACUGUCGGGGAAAUAGGCUGAGAACACCAAUCCCCGAAACUCUUCCCAAGUCAUAGGAGGGAGACUAGGCGAUCGAUCUCGCUUAACGCCUUUCCACCACACCUUCGGCGACUGUUUGAGAUAAUGCGUGGCUAGGUUUACCUUGUCCCGCUCCAACGUGUACAAAUCCUCGAAGAGCGUUUCCAUGGAAUCAAUCCACAUCUCUACGACCCACGGAUCUGCAUCCUAACCAUCAAAGG